UCCCCUAUGCCACAGUUACAAAUGGCCUGAAUAAUUUGUUGUUAGUUUCAAUAUUUGGUUACAAGAGGCUGAGCUGUGAUACGAGUAACAUUGGAAGGGUUACUGUCAAGAUUUCAAAUGGUUUCAAAAAUCAUUUGCUGGACCCAGUUGAAAAGCUUUCAAGUUGCUUAGUAGAUUAAAUCCCUUUUUUGCUACAUAGAUUUGUUGAGCAAGCAUAUUUUCUUCUAAGUUUGUGUCCAAUUAAUCUUCACUCACCUAGUAUCUUAAUCAGGGGGGACAGCAUCAAGGCCCUUCA
rnacentral:misc_RNA from 1 species